rnacentral:rRNA from 2 species
UGCAGAAUCCCGUGAACCAUCGAGUUUUUGAACGCAAGUUGCGCCCGAAGCUUCGGCUGAGGGCACGUCUGCCUGGGCGUCACGC